rnacentral:siRNA from 1 species
UAUCUUCAUGAAGUUGGGUGU